UUUAUUGGAACUGGAAUGAAAGGCUUAACAAAUAUAGAGUUUUUUAUUUUUUAAUAUUAAAAUUUUUAGUUUGUGUAAAAAUACACAAAUAAUUAAGAGGGACGAUAAGACCCUAAAAGCUUUAUUAGUAUGAUUUUCAUUAUUGUUUUAAUUUGGUUAUUAAAGAUAUUUUAACUGGGGCGGUUGUUUUUAUAACAAAAAUUUUUUAUACAAAUAGGGUUUAAGAUCCUUAAUAUUAGGAUAAAUAGUUUAAGUUACUUUAGGGUUAACAGCAUAAUAACAAUGGGGAGACCUUAUUUAUAUUGUUGAUUGUGACCUCGAUGUUGAAUUAAGAAUUUCUAUAUAAAGCAGAAAUUAUAUAUGAAAGUUUGUUCAACUUUUGAAAUCUUACAUGAUCUGAGUUCAAA
rnacentral:rRNA from 1 species